rnacentral:rRNA from 1 species
CCCUACGGGGCGCGAGGACACUUUCCCCACGAGAGUCGGGAGUCCCAAUGCCUUCGACUGACUCACUGCCCAGUGUGCGAAGUCUGCUAACCCGGUUUCCCCCGAGCCGUCUGCUGCUCUGGUCAGAUGUCCGGCAUCGUCCGCGACAAAGAGUUCUGCCUGGCCCGCUCCGACGCUCCCCGCGACCUCAGAGGAGAGGAUCGCCGCCACUUCAUCCACUGAUAGCUCUGAUACAAGGUGAGCGCUGAAUUUGUUGAGGAGAGAAGUCUCGUGUUCGCGAGCGAGAGCCAUUCCCUCCCUCUCACGGAUCUUUCCGGUCUGCAGACCCAUGAUUAUCCCUACAAUCAGAAAGACAAAGAGGGAGAGC